rnacentral:misc_RNA from 1 species
AAGUCGUAACAAGGUUUCCGUAGGUGAACCUGCGGAAGGAUCAUUAACACGUAUCCACGUUAUCAAACCAAUGAGAACCGUUUUCCCGUCUCCCUGCUGCAUGAAAUGAAUUGGAACCAGUUUGAGGGGGUGAUGGGACCGAUAAGGUCGACCUUCCUGGCACACUGAUGUUUAAUUCCGUUUAUUCGGAUGAGGGCAUCGACAAUUGUAUUUAUGUUCUGCAGGCUAAUUCUUUAUCGCUUUGAUCCCCUCACGAUCGUGGCGGUAGGGAAGCCCUUCAAACUACAUUUACCCCCUUUUUGCUAGUUGACUUUUUAUAUGUGUUGUGGGUUCGAUUGCUUCAUUGCAACGGCUCUCGGCACACGUUUAUUAAUUGAACGUUAAAAAAUACAACUCUUAGCAAUGGAUAUCUUGGUUCUC